rnacentral:sRNA from 1 species
UCUUGCUUACGCAAUUGAUCAUGGACGAAUUUUCGCUGCUCCGUUUCUCGAGACAAGGCCACAUGGGUGAUACUUUACAAAGGAAAGAGUAGCAGUAAUGAACUGUUUUGAAUCCCUGUACAUGUGUUUCCCAAGCUAUUGACUCAAGGUGUUUUCUGUUCUUCUACGUUAUUGGGAAAAGCUGUUAAGUCUUCAUUGUGGCAUCAUAGGUUGGGCCACCCUUCUAAUGACAUUCUAGCAGCUAUGUUAAAGAAUUCUUAGGUUCUAUUAGCUAGUGAUGUAACUACUCAUGUUUGUACUGAUUGUCUUAGUGGCAAGAUGAGUAAAUUGUCCUUUUUCAAAUAAGAUAGAUAGAGUUGAUAUUCCAUUUCAUAAAGUUCAUUGUGAUAUUUGGGGUCCUUCACAUGUUGCUUCUCCUGAGGGUUUCCGAUAUUAUGUGUCAUUUGUAGAUGAGGCUACUUGAUUUGU